rnacentral:misc_RNA from 1 species
AAUUGCCUGACAAAUCUUCGCCGUGUGUUUUCUAAGUAACAGCGUGUUGGGUGGUUGUUUGUCACAUUUGACGCUGCUCUUCUUCACCUUCAAGCAGAAAGUAACGUAGUCUCAUACAUUUAUAUUCUUGUUUGGUCUUUGGAAGAGAAGGAGAAAAAGAAAGGGAGGUAGAGGGAGGAGAAAAAGAAAGGGAGGGAGAGCGCUUUGUAUAUUCUUCUUCUUGUUUCUUGUUCUUUUUUUCUUGCACUUGUUUUUGCUACAUAAAACAGUAAUUACUCGUCUAAGCCGCUGCCUAUGGCCACAAGAGGGUUGGUAGUCUAUUUGCUAUCUUGUUUUUCUCUGGCUGUUCUCUCUGCAAUCGUCCUCGCCGACAAAAAUGCCGGAAACCCAUCAAACUCCACCCUACUCAGUUCUCCAUACAUGUCCACCACCGACAAAGUUUGGCCAAAAUUGGAGCUUAGUUGGAGACUGGUGUUGGCUACGGUGAUAGGAUUUCUGGGAUCGGCAUGUGGAACUGUGGGUGGCGUUGGCGGCGGAGGCAUUUUCGUGCCUAUGCUUACUUUGAUUGUUGGAUUUGAUACCAAGUCUGCUG